rnacentral:rRNA from 1 species
AUUGAACGCUGGCGGCAGGCCUAACACAUGCAAGUCGAACGAGUGGCGGACGGGUGAGUAAUGUCUGGGAAACUGCCUGAUGGAGGGGGAUAACUACUGGAAACGGUAGCUAAUACCGCAUACCAUCGGAUGUGCCCAGAUGGGAUUAGCUAGUAGGUGGGGUAAAGGCUCACCUAGGCGACGAUCCCUAGCUGGUCUGAGAGGAUGACACGCCACCCUGGAACUGAUACACGGUCCAGACCGCUACGCGAUGCAUGAGUGGGGAAUAUUGCACAAUGGGCGCAAGCCUGAGGCAGCCGUGCCGCGUGUAUGGAGAUGGCCUUCGGGUGGUAAAGUACUUUCAGCGGGGAGGCGUUACCCGCAGAAGAAGCACCGGCUAACUCCGUGCCAGCAGCCGCGGUAAUAC